rnacentral:rRNA from 1 species
CAUGAAGCUGGAAUUGCUAGUAAUGGCAGGUCAGCAUACUGCCGUGAAUACGUUCCCGGGCCUUGUACACACCGCACGUCACACCAUGAGAGUUGGGAAUACCCGAAGCCUGUGAGCCAACUUUUAAAGAGGCAACAGUCGAAGGUAGAAUCAAUGAUUGGGGUGAAGUCGUAACAAGGUACC